rnacentral:rRNA from 1 species
GACGUAGGGCGCGAGCGUUGUCCGGAUUUAUUGGGCGUAAAGAGCUCGUAGGCGGCUCGUCGCGUCGACCGUGAAAACCCGCGGCUUAACUGCGGGCUUGCGGUUGAUACGGGCGGGCUAGAGUUCGGUAGGGGAGACUGGAAUUCCUGGUGUAGCGGUGAAAUGCGCAGAUAUCAGGAGGAACACCGGUGGCGAAGGCGGGUCUCUGGGCCGAUACUGACGCU